rnacentral:rRNA from 1 species
UAAGGAAUAUUGGACAAUGGAGGCAACUCUGAUCCAGCCAUGCCGCGUGAAGGAAUAAGGCCCUAUGGGUUGUAAACUUCUUUUAGACGGGACAAAACCCCUUUACGUGGAAAGGGUUGAUGGUACUGUCAGAAUAAGCAUCGGCUAACUUCGUGCCAGCAGCCGCGGUAAUACGAAGGAUGCAAGCGUUAUCCGGAAUUAUUGGGUUUAAGGGGUGCGUAGGCGGACUAAUAAGUCAGUGGUGAAAGCCUGCAGCUUAACUGCAGAAUUGCCUUUGAUACUGGUAGUCUUGAGUACGGUUGAGGUAGGCGGAAUGUGUCAUGUAGCGGUGAAAUGCUUAGAUAUGACACAGAACACCGAUUGCGAAGGCAGCUUGCUAAGCUGUAACUGACGCUGAGGCGCGAAAGCGCGGGGAGCAAACA